AAACUUUCAACAACGGAUCUCUUGGCUCUGGCAUCGAUGAAGAACGCAGCGAAAUGCGAUAAGUAAUGUGAAUUGCAGAAUUUAGUGAAUCAUCGAAUCUUUGAACGCACAUUGCGCCCCUGGGUAUUCCCAGGGGCAUGCCUGUUCGAGCGUC
rnacentral:rRNA from 3 species